ensembl:lncRNA
AGUAAAGUGGACCAGAUUUCCUUUGAAUCUCAGUCAAAGAAAAAGAAACAUCAGUGACGCAGGUUGAGCACUUACACAAUGACAAAAUUAAUUUGUAACCUCCACUUAUUUAUCCAUUCCUCCAACCUUACAUUAUCUUACUGCUGGGUGCAGGAGACACAAGGUCAUUUACGUUUUAGAUGAUGAAGAACUGUGAGUCUGCAUGUCUCAGUGAGACACCUGGUGCUUGUAAGCAAUAUUUACUUAACAAUAUUAAGACUUAAAGAUAGAGGGAACUUAAAGCCGAUCGAUGCUACAGCAACUUUGAACAAAACUGAUGAUGACCAGAGGGAUUUUAACUAUUACUGCCAUCAUAUACAUCUGAUAGUUGUUACAUCUGAUGGUUGUUACAUCUGAUGGUUGUUACAUCUGAUGGAGGUUACAUCUGAUGGUUGUUACAUCUGAUGGUUGUUACAUCUGAUGGAGGUUACAUCUGAU